GAUGAACGCUGGCGGCGUGCCUAAUACAUGCAAGUCGAGCGAACAGAUGAGAAGCUUGCUUCUCUGAUGUUAGCGGCGGACGGGUGAGUAACACGUGGGUAACCUACCUAUAAGACUGGGAUAACUCCGGGAAACCGGGGCUAAUACCUGAUAAUAUUUUGAACCGCAUGGUUCAAUAGUGAAAGGCGGCUUCGGCUGUCACUUAGAGAUGGACCCGCGCCGUAUUAGCUAGUUGGUAAGGUAACGGCUUACCAAGGCGACGAUACGUAGCCGACCAGAGAGGGUGAUCGGCCACACUGGAACUGAGACACGGUCCAGACUCCUACGGGAGGCAGCAGUAGGGAAUCUUCCGCAAUGGGCGAAAGCCUGACGGAGCAACGCCGCGUGAGUGAUGAAGGUUUUCGGAUCGUAAAACUCUGUUGUUAGGGAAGAACAAAUUUGUUAGUAACUGAACAAGUCUUGACGGUACCUAACCAGAAAGCCACGGCUAACUACGUGCCAGCAGCCGCAGUAA
rnacentral:rRNA from 1 species